rnacentral:rRNA from 1 species
AUUGAACGCUGGCGGCAGGCCUAACACAUGCAAGUCGAACGGUAACAGGAAGAAGCUUGCUUCUUUGCUGACGAGUGGCGGACGGGUGAGUAAUGUCUGGGAAACUGCCUGAUGGAGGGGGAUAACUACUGGAAACGGUAGCUAAUACCGCAUAACGUCGCAAGACCAAAGAGGGGGACCUUCGGGCCUCUUGCCAUCGGAUGUGCCCAGAUGGGAUUAGCUAGUAGGUGGGGUAACGGCUCACCUAGGCGACUAUCCCUAGCUGGUCUGAGAGGAUGACCAGCCACACUGGAACUGAGACACGGUCCAGACUCCUACGGGAGGCAGCAGUGGGGAAUAUUGCACCAUGGGCGCAAGCCUGAUGCAGCCAUGCCGCGUGUAUGAAGAAGGCCUUCGGGUUGUAAAGUACUUUCAGCGGGGAGGAAGGGAGUAAAGUUAAUACCUUUGCUCAUUGACGUUACCCGCAGAAGAAGCACCGGCUAACUCCGUG